rnacentral:rRNA from 1 species
GAUGAACGCUAGCGGCAGGCUUAACACAUGCAAGUCGAGGGGUAUAGUUCUUCGGAACUAGAGACCGGCGCACGGGUGCGUAACGCGUAUGUAAUCUACCUUUUACAGGGGGAUAGCCCAGAGAAAUUUGGAUUAAUACCCCAUAGUAAGUUGUGGUGGCAUCACUAUAACAUUAAAGUUCCAACGGUAAAAGAUGAGCACGCGUCCCAUUAGCUAGAUGGUAAGGUAACGGCUUACCAUGGCUACGAUGGGUAGGGGUCCUGAGAGGGAGAUCCCCCACACUGGUACUGAGACACGGACCAGACUCCUACGGGAGGCAGCAGUGAGGAAUAUUGGACAAUGGGCGCAAGCCUGAUCCAGCCAUGCCGCGUGCAGGAUGACGGUCCUAUGGAUUGUAAACUGCUUUUGUACAGGAAGAAACACUCCCUCGUGAGGGAGCUUGACGGUACUGUAAGAAUAAGGAUCGGCUAACUCCGUGCCAGCCGCCGCGGUAA